rnacentral:lncRNA from 10 species
ACUGCAUGGUGGAAGACCUGGGCCUGGUGGCCACGGGCAGCCUCAGAAGAGAUCUGUGGUGGCAGAGACAUCUGGAAGGUGACAAAGGUUAGAAAGAAGAUAAGGGACGCUCAGAGGAGAAAGACAAUCAGAGACACCUGGAACAUAACAGAAAAGACAGUCAAGUGAUGCGGAGCCUCCCGUUGGGACUUCACGCCACUCAGGGCUUCAUUCCUCCAAGGAAGCUUCGAAUGAGAGGGAAAAAGCAAAGGGUAAGAAUGAGUCCC